rnacentral:lncRNA from 1 species
UGCAACUCUGAGUCUUUUUCUUGUUGAAAAUACUUAGGGCUUAUUCCAUCAUUUCAAAUUAAUUGCAACUGAUGGUUUUUAAAUGUUGUUUUCGGAGAUUAAUUGUUAACAACACAAAAGGUUGUUAAUGAUAGAACAACACAAAAGGUUUUCGGAGCGAUUCUACCAGAACCGACUCCCUUUUCGCGCCUCCAAAAUAAAUUAAAUAUGUGAUAUUCACAUGGGGUUGUAGCCUUUUGGGAUAAUGUUAAGG